rnacentral:lncRNA from 1 species
GACGGUGCGCAGGCUGGGGGAGGGGCCGGAAGGGGCCCGCGGGGUCGGGGCGCGCCCCCGGCUUCCCCGCCUCCCCCCCAGCCUAGCGCCUCCGGCUGCUCCCUCCGCGAUCCGGACCCGCCGUCGUAGAGCGGAGGGCUGGGUAACCAGGACAUCCAGGCUUCAGUCCCGGUUUAGGCUCUGAUUACCUGAGCAUCUUGGGCAACUCACCACCUUCCCCGUUCGCCUCCUAGCCUCAGUUUCCCCGACUAUGAAUGGAGUGGUUGGACCAGGUUUCCAAGGACAUUCCCAGCACACACUACUUUAUAUGGCUCUGGGGUAGGGCGGGGAGGACUCAGGGCUACGUAAUUUUUCACCCUCUUCCCAGGUGAAGACUAUUUUUUUUCAACAGAUGACACCCACCAUUGUAUCCUGAACGGGGGAAUGUCAGUUGUAAGAGCGGAGAGAGUCUCUGUACCCACCACCUCCAUUGUACAGAGGGGGCCGGCAGCUCAGAGACAGUGCGGACCAUGUGGGUCACACAGCGCAUGGGAGGCAGGGGCGGGGCGCCAGCUGCCAAGAUGGCAAGGAGACUGCCUGAGCACAGAGCCGAGGCAGGGGCUUCCUGUCUGCGAGGAGGCCCCGGUGGCUGUUCUCCCACUGCCCAUACCCUUCUGGUCUCCAUCAGUGACUGCUACAGCGCCGUGGCCCUGUUGCCAGCCUCCAUAAGAGGUGUGGAGGUGGUAGCCUCCCUCCACCCACCCUAACCCUAGUAAGCGGACAGCCAGGAUCCCAACCAGACAGUUUUGCCCCAGUGCUGGGCCUCCUCUCUUCCCGGCCCCCAGUUCUCAGGGGAGGCCCAGCUUUCCUGGGGAAUAAAGCCCCUUUCUAUUUCCU